rnacentral:lncRNA from 1 species
CAAGACUUGUAUCACCUGUUAUGCAAAUUAAAAUAUAUCAACAUCUCUCCAAAAUAUAACUAUCAGGAAAGAGACACAAUCUGUAAAAUGACAGAUUUGACUGUUAUUCUGUCAUCAUCAAUGUGAACCGUUUUAAAGGGAGAUUACUCUGUAAAAAUCAACUGUACGUUUAAAUUACGUUCUAUUGUUAGGGGGAAAUUAAGCUUCUCAAUGAUCAAAAUUAG